GGGAAGAAAGACACAUGUGUUGCUAGGUUAUGAAAAGGGUGAUAAAUAUAGGAAAUCUAAACAUGAAUUAAAGGCCAUUGUAAUUGGCAUAAGAAUAUGUGAUUGUUUGUUUAUCAUGAAUUGGUUAGUAGGUGACUUUUAUGUUGGAAGAUUGAAAUCAAAUGAACUCAACAUAUGUCAAACUAUCUAAUUAUACCCACACAAAUUAUUUACAUUAUUUACUCAUAAAAGUUUAAUAUAACCACUUAAUUGCAUUGUUUGGACAAAGCAGACAUCCCCUAAUUAAUCAUACUUGUGAGUUAGUGCGACAAAUAGUUCCUUAUGGGUAUCCACCAUAUAUUCACAAAUUAUUG
rnacentral:lncRNA from 1 species